rnacentral:rRNA from 1 species
UAAGGAAUAUUGGUCAAUGGACGCAAGUCUGAACCAGCCAUGCCGCGUGAAGGAUGAAGGCUCUAGAAGUCGUAAACUUCUUUUCUACGGGAAAAAUUCCCAGGUCGUGAAUCUGGGUUGAUGGUACUGUAUGAAUAAGCAUCGGCUAACUCCGUGCCAGCAGCCGCGGUAAUACGGAGGAUGCAAGCGUUAUCCGGAUUUAUUGGGUUUAAAGGGUGCGCAGGCGGGGCUAUAAGUCAGCGGUGAAAGCCUACAGCUUAACUGUAGAAUUGCCAUUGAUACUGUAGUCCUUGAGUGCAGGUGAAGAGGGCGGAAUGUGUUGUGUAGCGGUGAAAUGCUUAGAUAUAACACAGAACGCCAAUUGCGAAGGCAGCUCUCUAAACUGCAACUGACGCUCAGGCACGAAAGCGUGGGGAUCAAACAGG